GGAGAGCUCUGGCUCAGAGUUUGCGAUCCGAGAGCGGGAUCCGCGCUCCCUCGGUCCUUCCUCCCUCCCCUCUUGCGGCCUCCCGCUGUCAUCUGGAGCCGCUCCUGCCGCCCCCUGGCGGCGACCGCGGGAAGGGCCGGCCCCCAUCCGCACCCCUGACCCCGGAGGUCAACAACGGGAUGGUCCCUGGGUCCCAGGGGAAGAGACAUCACCCAGUAGGAGGGAGUACGGUCUAGACAGAGGCCACGAGGGCGGGAGGGGGCGAGAGUGGAGAGUGGCCCAGCUGGCCAGGGUCGUCUAAGUGAGAGGAAAAGGGAGAGGGCGGUUGAGACCAGGCCCUGAAUUCCGCGUUCAUCUUAUCCUGAGGUAUUCAGUGCCGAGUGUGGCCUUGGUGCUAGGAUUCAAAGAGGAAAGGAAGAAAACUUUCCAUUCUAAAAGAAACUCCACGUGAGGCGAAGAAGAUGAAAUAUAGUCAGAAAACCAUACCAGUAGGUGUUAAGUUGAUAAAUGAUGCAUACGACAUCCUAUAGAAGACUGUCACCACCCCACCUCACUGAUCAGCCCUCUGCCUACAGCCACACCCACAGAACAUUCAGCCAUUUCUCCUGUGGUUCCCAGCCUGCAGCACAGCGUCUGCACGUGGAACUCUGGAAUGCUGACCUACAGUCUGAGUUCCUGUGCCCUUGCCUGGGGCUGACUCUCUACUUGACCUGUAACCCACAACUGGGCAAGAGAAAAUUCUGCAGCCACAGCUCUGAGGACAUGAGCAAAAUGGUUUCCAGACGGAAUGUCAAGGAUUCCCAUGAAGUGUCAGGGAGUCUUCAGGCCACACUUCAGGUUAUCUCCUUCUCUUUCCCUUUUCUGCUUCACACUUGCUCUCAUCCUCUUUCUCACCCCACAUCUGGUCAGAGGAGAUAGGAAGGUUCUUGUUACCUGGUACAAGACAACUUUUGGAAUCCCAGAUAUUCAGAUUAUUUCCCCUUUUCCUCUUUGCAAAUGAUAAUACUCACAGCCAAGAGGCAUCACCCGGAUCCGAGGCUGCUUCUCCUUAGGACAUGCAGACAGAAGGAGAAGGCGGGGCUGGCAGCCUCCAGUCCACAGCCUCCCUUUCUUCUUCCGGCGAUGAUUAACUAGGCCUAGACAAUGGAGAUCUACGGCAUACGCCCAGGGCCUCCUCUUCUCAAGCAUGGCUGAUCAGUCACUUUCCCGUCUAUCCUUCAUUUAUUGAAGCCAACUAUGAACGACUAAAGGAAGGAUGAGAAAAGUCACCCAAAGUCAAAGGGGACAGCGUGGGAGACUGUUCUAGACAGAAGGAAACACCUUUGCAAAGACCCUGAGGAAGGCAGGGGACUCUCCAGGAGCAGAAGGGCUGUGUGGCUUCAGAGUCCACAAAAGAGAGCAGAUACAGGACACUGGCUAGAGCAGGCCCUGGAGCCCGCUGCUGUCCUGGAGGCCUUGGGGAGGCCCAGUGUUCCCAGGGUGGAAGAAGUAGGGGACAGCUUGACGUAGUGGCUGUUGAUCAGCUGAUAUGGAAGUAUGUCAUUUUAUUAACAAUUGAGAAAGGAGUGCUGUGCAAUUCCAUUCAAUGCCAGUGAUGCUUAUGGCCGUUUUUAUGAGUUCUGUCAUUUUCAAAUGAGCAAGAGGAAGCCUCUAAGGGGGUUUAAGCAGGGACUGACGUAAUCAGAUCUGUGUUUUUCCAAAGGGAGAGGGAGAAAAAGAACAUUUCUUAUUUUUCAAAAAAGGUAAUGCAAAAGCAUCAUUCCACAAUUCUCUUGUAAUGAAAAAAAUAAAUGCAAACUUAAGCAAAUCCAUCAUUCUGAAAGAA
ensembl:lncRNA CT62 cancer/testis associated 62